rnacentral:rRNA from 1 species
AUUGAACGCUGGCGGCAGGCUUAACACAUGCAAGUCGAGCGGGGGAAGGUAGCUUGCUACCGGACCUAGCGGCGGGCGGGUGAGUAAUGCUUAGGAAUCUGCCUAUUAGUGGGGGACGACAUCUCGAAAGGGAUGCUAAUACCGCAUACGUCCUACGGGAGAAAGCAGGGGAUCUUCGGACCUUGCGCUAAUAGAUGAGCCUAAGUCGGAUUAGCUAGUUGGUGGGGUAAAGGCCUACCAAGGCGACGAUCUGUAGCGGGUCUGAGAGGAUGAUCCGCCACACUGGGACUGAGACACGGCCCAGACUCCUACGGGAGGCAGCAGUGGGGAAUAUUGGACAAUGGGGGGAACCCUGAUCCAGCCAUGCCGCGUGUGUGAAGAAGGCCUUAUGGUUGUAAAGCACUUUAAGCGAGGAGGAGGCUACUUUAGUUAAUACCUAGAGAUAGUGGACGUUACUCGCAGAAUAAGCACCGGCUAACUCUGUGCCAGCCGCCGCAGUAA